UUUCCGUAGGUGAACCUGCGGAAGGAUCAUUAAAAAUGAAGCCGGGAAACCGGUCCUUCUAACCCUUGAUUAUCUUAAUUUGUUGCUUUGGUGGGCCGCGCAAGCACCGGCUUCGGCUGGAUCGUGCCCGCCAGAGGACACAACUCUGUAUCAAAUGUUGUCUGAGUACUAUAAAAUAGUUAAAACUUUCAACAACGGAUCUCUUGGUUCUG
rnacentral:misc_RNA from 1 species